CACGAAAGUUUUUCUGUUUUAAAAAACCAUUCAUGGAAAUUGAAUUUGUAGAGAAGUUGCUACAUUAAAAGUGUUAGACGAGAAGUCCCCAUGGAGCUUUACUGAAAGCCUAAAAAAAAUUUUUUAUUUAUUUAUAGGUUAGACAGUUUUGUUGGGGUGAUAGUUUUUUAAAAAGUAACGAAAACGAACAAUGACGCAUGUUUCACUCUGAAAACUUGAAGAGACAUUUGGGGUGUGUUUUAUGAUCUAUUGUUUUGAAUGAAAAAAUAAUGAAAGCA
rnacentral:rRNA from 1 species